rnacentral:rRNA from 1 species
AUUGAACGCUGGCGGCAUGCUUUACACAUGCAAGUCGAACGGCAGCGCGGGCUUCGGCCUGGCGGCGAGUGGCGAACGGGUGAGUAAUGCAUCGGAACGUGCCCAGUAGUGGGGGAUAGCCCGGCGAAAGCCGGAUUAAUACCGCAUACGACCUGAGGGUGAAAGCGGGGGACCGAAAGGCCUCGCGCUAUUGGAGCGGCCGAUGUCGGAUUAGCUAGUUGGUGGGGUAAAGGCUUACCAAGGCGACGAUCCGUAGCUGGUCUGAGAAGACGACCAGCCACACUGGGACUGAGACACGGCCCAGACUCCUACGGGAGGCAGCAGUGGGGAAUUUUGGACAAUGGGGGCAAGCCUGAUCCAGCCAUGCCGCGUGCGGGAAGAAGGCCUUCGGGUUGUAAACCGCUUUUGUUCGGGAAGAAAACCUCUGGGAUAAUACCCCGGGGGGAUGACGGUACCGAAAGAAUAAGCACCGGCUAACUACGUG